GUAAGUGGAGUUUCUGCAAUGGUAAUUAGGAGGGCCCUCAUUACCCUGGCGGAGCCGGCUGAGAGCCGAUAAAGCCGAGGGGGAGAAGGGCCGACAUCAGGGUAAUGGGGGAGCAGGGCCAUUGAGGAGCUGGAGCCGAGCCGGGGACCGCUCCGCGCGCAGCUGGAGCCCGGCGAGAGGGCCGCGGAAGGGGGGUGCGAACCGGGGCCGGACCCCGGGGAGGAGCCGGGAGGCGAGCGGCGAGGGGCACUGCGCGGCUGGGUCUGCCCCGGGGUUUCGCACUGCGCCGCGGGUCGAAGUACCGCGAGUUGGCCCUGACUGUCUGCAGGAUGAGGGUGUCGAGGAGGGUUCCAGGCCAGCGUGCCUGCCUCGCCUCCAGCCCGGGGAUGGGCCUCCAGCGCUUUCCAGGCUAACUCAGCGAGCCCAGUCUUCUUAGUCAACUGAGAGACAUGUCUACAGAACAGACCAUGUGGCCAACUCCUCCUCCUCCCCAUGCCCCAGGCAAGAGGACUCUGGGAAGACAUCCAGGAAGCAAGGAGUCUGUAGCCAGCCCCCACCCCCACCCCCAGACUGGAGAGAAGAAAAGGAAUUGGAGGAGAAGGAAUGGGAUAAGGGUGGGGGUUUUCUGAGACCCACAUUCUCUCUGACAUGCCCACUGAGCCUCCCCACAGGAAAACAGGUGAGCGUCCUCAUCCAGCCCACGGUCUUCAACUUUGGGGUGGGGGCCAGAGUGAGGCCCUUGGCCUGCCCAUGGACAGCCAUGUUGCGGGCACGCUUCGCCUGGGGCCAAAUGUGGUCACGCAAGUGGGUCUCUUUCUCCUGCACAUCCAGCAGUCAUCUCAGCUCCUGGGGACUUUCUGUCUGUCCACAGGAUUAUGAAAGAAAUACUAGAAGUAUUCUCCAAGUUGGGUUGGGCUUCAGAAAGCCCUUUUGAUAUAAGCCAAAUACCUCAGAUGGCCAAGGGAGUGGCCUGGCCUCAGUCUCCUCAACUAAAUCACCAGUUCCAAGACAGCAGGGAAUAAUAAAGAUAAAAAUAAUAUAAUAACGACAGCUAAC
rnacentral:lncRNA from 1 species